UUAAGUUCAGCGGGUAUUCCUACCUGAUUCGAGGUCAACUCUGAAAAAGUUGGGGGGUUUUACGGCAGUGGCCAUUCGCCGGGCUCCUGUUGCGAGGUGUGCUAUACUACGCAGAGGAGGGCCGCGACGAGGCCGCCAAGUCAUUUGGGGGGCGGCGACUCGCUGCGGAAGAAGAUCCGCGGCUGUCUCGCCGGUCCCCA
rnacentral:misc_RNA from 1 species